CCUACGGGCGGCUGCAGUGGGGGAUAUUGCGCAAUGGGCGAAAGCCUGACGCAGCGACGCCGCGUGGGUGAUGAAGGCCUUCGGGUCGUAAAGCCCUGUCGAGGGGGAAGAAACAGCAGCGACCUAAUACGUCGUUGCCUUGACGGUACCCCUAAAGGAAGCACCGGCUAACUCCGUGCCAGCAGCCGCGGUAAUACGGAGGGUGCAAGCGUUGUUCGGAAUCACUGGGCGUAAAGCGCGUGUAGGCGGUCUGUUAAGUCUGAUGUGAAAGCCCG
rnacentral:rRNA from 1 species